rnacentral:rRNA from 1 species
GGCUCAGAUUGAACGCUGGCGGCAUGCCUUACACAUGCAAGUCGAACGGCAGCGCGGGAGCAAUCCUGGCGGCGAGUGGCGAACGGGUGAGUAAUACAUCGGAACGUGCCCAAUCGUGGGGGAUAACGCAGCGAAAGCUGUGCUAAUACCGCAUACGAUCUACGGAUGAAAGCAGGGGAUCGCAAGACCUUGCGCGAAUGGAGCGGCCGAUGGCAGAUUAGGUAGUUGGUGAGGUAAAGGCUCACCAAGCCUUCGAUCUGUAGCUGGUCUGAGAGGACGACCAGCCACACUGGGACUGAGACACGGCCCAGACUCCUACGGGAGGCAGCAGUGGGGAAUUUUGGACAAUGGGCGCAAGCCUGAUCCAGCCAUGCCGCGUGCAGGAUGAAGGCCUUCGGGUUGUAAACUGCUUUUGUACGGAACGAAACGGCCUUUUCUAAUAAAGAAGGCUAAUGACGGUACCGUAAGAAUAAGCACCGGCUAACUACGUGCCAGCAGCCGCGGUAAUACGUAGGGUGCAAGCGUUAAUCGGAAUUACUGGGCGUAAAGCGUGCGCAGGCGGUUAUGUAAGACAGUUGU